GUCUACGGCCAUACCACCCUAAACACACCCGAUCUCGUCUGAUCUCCGAAGCUAAGCAGGGUCGGGCCUGGUUAGUACUUGGAUGGGAGACAGCCUGCGAAUACAGGAUGCUAUAGGCU
rnacentral:rRNA from 1 species